AACCCGAAGGCGCAAUGAAAGUGAAGGUCGGCCACACCUGGCCGACCGAGGCGGGAUCCGUCCGAGCAUCGCUGCUGGCUCUUCGGAGCCGCGGGAGCUCGGCGGCGCACCGCCGGCCCGUCUCGACCGCAUCUCGUCGGCGAGGCGGAGCAAGAGCGCACACGUUGGGACCCGAAAGAUGGUGAACUAUGCUCGGGCAGGACGAAGCCAGAGGAAACUCUGGUGGAGGUCCGUAGCGAUUCUGACGUGCAAAUCGAUCGUCGGACCUGAGUAUAGGGGCGAAAGACUAAUCGAACCGUCU
rnacentral:rRNA from 1 species